CCUACGGGAGGCAGCAGUGAGGAAUAUUGGUCAAUGGCCGAGAGGCUGAACCAGCCAAGUCGCGUGAGGGAAGAAUGUCCUAUGGAUUGUAAACCUCUUUUGUCAGGGAGCAAAGUCACCCACGUGUGGGUGUUGGAGAGUACCUGAAGAAAAAGCAUCGGCUAACUCCGUGCCAGCAGCCGCGGUAAUACGGAGGAUGCGAGCGUUAUCCGGAUUUAUUGGGUUUAAAGGGUGCGUAGGCGGGUUAUCAAGUCAGCGGUAAAAUCGUGGAGCUCAACUCCAUCCAGCCGUUGAAACUGAUGAUCUUGAGUGGGCGAGAAGUAUGCGGAAUGCGUGGUGUAGCGGUGAAAUGCAUAGAUAUCACGCAGAACUCCGAUUGCGAAGGCAGCAUACCGGCGCCCGACUGACGCUGAAGCACGAAAGCGUGGGUAUCGAACAGGAUUAGAUACCCCAGUAGUC
rnacentral:rRNA from 1 species